GUCCUUCCAUGGGCCACUUUUGGUAGGUACAAGACCUGCCGUUUUGGCAAUGCUCAGACUCAGUUAUCUAGACAUCACAGUUUGGCCCUUAUCGAAGUUGCUUAGAUCCUUACACUUGCCCAUUUUUCCCCAACCGUUUGCUUGGUGCCUGAUAUACCCCACCCCUUCACUGGUGCUGUUGUAACGAGAUAAUCAGUGUUCUUCACUUCACCUGUCAGUAGUUUUACUGUUGUAGCUGAUCGGUGUAUAGUUGCAUUUAAUGUUGUAGAAUGAAAACACAUUCCUGUUCUCACUUGUGUUAGCAUGUUGUAACAGCUGUUCUUCCCUCACCUAUUGUGUGGUGUGUUUAUUUAUUUAUUUUUAUUUAUUUAUUUUAUUUAAAAAAACAAAACUUUUUUUAUAUAUAAAAAAAGCAAAAAUGCUGCUUGUCAUGUUACCGAUAGGGCCACAGAAAUGUCCUCUGUGCUGAUGUCUUGGCUGUAUCUGAAAACUUAUAGCUUUACUUAUAGCCCUGACUUUUACUGUGUUGACACUGGAGAUUCCUUUCAGAAAUGCUCCAUUAAUGUCUCCUAACAUAAACCCACUAGGACUAAGAUGAUUUAUGCAUUGUAGCACCAAACAAAGGUUUCAGUCACUUUUCUGUCUGUAGAUUGUCCAUCACUGUGUAUGGGGCCAUAGUCUUGUGUCCUUUAUUCAUCUCCGUAAACAGUCAUCAUAUUAACCUGUUGACUGGUGUUUAUCAGACAGGAGCCUGUGGUUUCCUACUCUGAACGCUGUUCGAGCCAUGUCGACUUCAGGAGGUCCCACUCCACCCUUCACCACCCUGUCGAUCACCCACCCAGCCAAUCACAUCACUUCUGUAGAGCUGCACCGACCAGAGAAACACAACGCCAUGAACUAGGCCUACUGGAGUGAAAUGAUCGAAUGCUUUAAUCAGAUUGCUAAAGACUCAGAGUGCCGUGUGGUCUUGGGUGCAGGGAAAAUCUUCACUGCAGUUUAUUUUGGAUACAGGCAGAGGAAGCUCAGCGAAAGCUUAAGAGACAGAAUGGAGAGGACCCAGCCCUGCCUCCAUUCUGCCCACUGUUUGCCAGCUUGGUG